ACCAUUUACAGAUGAAAGAAUCUCUAUAGAGAUGAAAGAAUCUCUAGAGAUUCUUUCAUCUGUAAAUGUA